rnacentral:rRNA from 1 species
AGAGCACAAGGAGAAUGCCUUGGCACUAGGAGCCGAUGAAAGACGUGGUAAGCUGCGAAAAGCUUCGGGGAGGCGCAAACAGCCAUCGAUCCGGAGAUAUCUGAAUGGGGAAACCUACUUGAGCAAACCUCAAGUAUCCAUGCGUGAAUCCAUAGCGUAUGGAAGGGAACGCUGUGAACUGAAACAUCUAAGUAGCAGUAGGAGGAGAAAGAAAACUCGAUUUCCUAAGUAGCGGCGAGCGAACGGGAAAGAGGCCAAACCGAAGGACCUGGUUCUUCGGGGUUGCGGACUGCAUUUAGCAUUGCUGAGAGAUAGACGAAUGGUUUUGGGAAAGCCAGCCGUAGACGGUGAAAGCCCGGUAGACGAAAUCUUGAAGCAGCGAGCAGGAUCCAGAGUACCACGAGACACGAGAAACCUUGUGGGAAGCCGGGGGGACCACCCCCCAAGCCUAAAUACUCCCUAGUGACCGAUAGUGAAGCAGUACUGUGAAGGAAAGGUGAAAAGGACCCCGGGAGGGGAGUGAAAGAGAACCUGAAACCUUGUGCUUACAAACAGUCAAAGGCCUACGGGCUGAUGGCGUACUUUUUGUAGAACGGUCCGGCGAGUUACUAAUGCCAGCGAGGUUAAGUGGUCAGAAGCCACGGAGCCGAAGGGAAACCAAGUCUGAAUAGGGCGUAGAGUUGGUAUUAGUAGACCCGAAACCGGGUGACCUAUCCAUGUCCAGGUUGAAGGAACCGUAAAAGGUUUUGGAGGACCGAACACACAUGUGUUGAAAAACGUGGUGAUGAGGUGUGGAUAGCGGAGAAAUUCCAAUCGAACUCGGAGAUAGCUGGUUCUCCUCGAAAUAGCUUUAGGGCUAGCCUCGAGCUGGAGUCUAACGGAGGUAAAGCACUGAACUGACGCGGGGCCCAAAAAGGUUACCAACUCAUAUCAAACUAAGAAUGCCGUCAAGAUACCCUCGGGAGUCAGUCUGCGUGAGAUAAGUCGCGUGGACAAAAGGGAAAGAGCCCAGACCGACAGCUAAGGUCCCAAAGUACGUGUUAAGUGGAAAAGGAUGUGGGAUUUCAUAGACAACUAGGAUGUUGGCUUAGAAGCAGCCAUACAUUUAAAGAGUGCGUAAUAGCUCACUAGUCGAGAAAACCUGCGCCGAAAAUGUAACGGGGCUAAAACACGACACCGAAGCUACGGAUUUCCUACUAGGUAGGAAGUGGUAGAGGAGCAUCCUGCAAGGACGAAGCCAAAGUGAGAGCGAUGGUGGACGAAACAGGAGAGAGAAUGCCGGAAUGAGUAGCGAGAUACAUGUGAGAAACAUGUAGGCCGAAUAUCUAAGGAUUCCUGGGUAAAGCUAAUCUUCCCAGGGUUAGUCGGGGCCUAAGGCGAGGACGAGAGUCGUAGUCGAUGGAUAACAGGUUGAUAUUCCUGUACUACACAUAAUCAGAACUGUGGGGACGCAGGAGGAUAGGGAAACCGGGGAAUGGAAAGACCCGGUCAAGCGCAAAGCUGUGGGAGAUAGGCAAAUCCGUCUCCUGUAAGUGAAGCGUGAUGAGGACUGAAAAAAAGUAAGGAAGUUUCCGAAUCCACACUGCCGAGAAAAGCCGCUAUUGCGUUAUGUGUACCCGUACCGUAAACCGACACAGGUAGAUGAGGAGAAAAUCCACAGGCCGACGGGAGAAGUGUUGUUAAGGAACUCGGCAAAAUGACCCCGUAACUUCGGGAUAAGGGGAGCCUCGCAAGAGGCCGCAGAAAAGAGGCACAAGCAACUGUUUAGCAAAAACAUAGGUCUAUGCGAAACCGUAAGGUGAAGUAUAUGGGCUGACGCCUGCCCGGUGCUGGAAGGUUAAAAGGAGAGGUCAGCGCAAGCGAAGCUUUGAAUUCAAGCCCCAGUAAACGGCGGCCGUAACUAUAACGGUCCUAAGGUAGCGAAAUUCCUUGUCAGGUAAGUUCUGACCCGCACGAAUGGCGUAACGACUUGGGCGCUGUCUCAACAGCCCACCCGGCGAAAUUGUUGUACUGGUGAAGAAGCCAGUUACCCGCAACUAGACGGAAAGACCCCAUGGAGCUUUACUGCAGCUUAAUACUGGAAUUCGGUAAUUCAUGUACAGGAUAGGUGGGAGACAUGGAAGUACGGUCGUCAGGUCGUAUGGAGUCGCCCUUGGGAUACCACUCUUGGAUUGCUGGGUUUCUAACCUGCGGCCGUGAAUCCGGUCGGGGGACACUGUUAGGCAGACAGUUUGACUGGGGCGGUCGCCUC